rnacentral:rRNA from 1 species
UACGAAGGGGGCUAGCGUUGCUCGGAAUGACUGGGCGUAAAGGGCGCGUAGGCGGCGCAACAAGUCACUUGUGAAAUCUCCGGGCUUAACCCGGAGCGGCCAAGUGAUACUGUCGUGCUAGAGUGCGGAAGGGGCUACUGGAAUUCUCGGUGUAGCGGUGAAAUGCGUAGAUAUCGAGAGGAACACCUGCGGCGAAGGCGGGUAGCUGGGCCGACACUGACGCUGAGGCGCGAAAGCCAGGGGAGCGAACGGG